rnacentral:rRNA from 1 species
AUUGAACGCUGGCGGCAGGCCUAAUACAUGCAAGUCGAACGAGUGGCGGACGGGUGAAUAAUGUCUGGGAACCUGCCCGAUGUAGGGGGAUAACUACUGUAACCGUUAGCUACUAGCGCUUACCAUCCUCUGUGCCCAGAUGGGAUUAGCUAGUAGGUGGGGUAACGGAUCACCUAGGCGACGAUCCCUAGCUGGUCUGAGAGGAUGACCAGCCACACUGGAACUGAGACACGGUCCAGACUCCUACGGGAGGCAGCAGUGGGGAAUAUUGCGCAAUGGGCGCAAGCCUGAUGCAGCCAUGCCGCGUGUAUGAAGAAGGCCUUCGGGUCGUAAAAUACUUUCAGCGGGGAAGCGUUACCCACAGAAGAAGCAACGGCUAACUACGUGCCAGCCGCCGCGGUAAUAC